UUUCCAAGACUCUACAUCACAAAAGAGCAAUAGGCGAUGAGGAACACUUACAUGCAAUUGUGGUACCCCUAUAUUGAGAUGGUCAAACCAGAGAAUCCGACUAGAGAUUUUGGGGCUUAUUGGGAAGGAAUGCACGUUCUCUGCUUGAGCAAAUAGAGAAGUAACAACACAAGAGGCUGAAGUUGCAAGAUUGAAAAUGAGGAUUUGGACUUUGAAGGCUAAAUUAAUUUAUGCUAAAUGGAAACCAUUGGUGGCUACCAUCUUUGGUGUUUUGGGUUAUUUUAUGGUGACUUUUAUGUUUUAUUUGUGGGUGAAGGUUCGAACUCAUUUGGGGUUGGGGUAUUGACAUAGCGAGGUUGUUAGAUGAAUUAUCUGAUGCGUUUGGAACUGCUGUAAUUAGCAGUAGUAAUAGUAAGACAGAAGUAGUAGAAGUACGGCAUGUGUAGCUAGUUUUAAAAGUGUACUCAACGCAAAAACUUUUUAAGUUGUGCCUGAAGUUUACUUUAUGUUUCAAAAAUACCUCUGAAAGAAUUGAAAUAGUUUGGGUUU